rnacentral:lncRNA from 12 species
CUGCCAUUUCUGCACACACCUGUCGGCCCUUCCAGGGGCGUGAGCCCUAUACUGCGUGCCCCUCCCCGCCAACACACGGAAUCCGCUUGUACCCACUUGUUCUAUUUUUUCACUCCACGUUUUACCUGGAGCUGCAUCCUGUUGUUGAAAGGCAGGAUGGACCAGGCAGGUGAAACGGCCUCUGUCCCUGCACAUCUUCAUUCCUUCACGAGACACGGUAGCAGCUUUGAGAAGGCGAAGGAGCCGGGAGUCAGUGCAUAUGGACAGUAAAUAAGAUGGUGCCUCGUUCCCCCAAUAUGUUAUGAGCUUUAAAAGUGUUGAUGGAGACACAAUUUUGAGGAUUGCUCAUUUUCAACGAGAUCCGAAAGAGAAAAGAAAUGUAAAGCAGUGGUAUCACUGUCAUGAACGUUUGGGACUUGGCUUCCUCCACCUGCUGCUCUGCGGGAUUUUUGGAACGUGAGAAAGGCGAGCUGAUCUUGCGUGGAGUAUAAAACGCUAGCUAGCAGAGGAUGGUUUCGAUCCAUCGACCUCUGGGUUAUGGGCCCAGCACGCUUCCGCUGCGCCACUCUGCUGCCUGCCGGGGAGGUCGCUUUGAAUCUUACAAAUUUGCAUACGCACAGUCACCCCGGGUGUCCACAUCGCUUCCUCUUUUCCACCCUCCUCCUCUUCUCUCUUUCGCUCUAGGGCUGCUCCACAUUUCCCUGUCCCACAUGCACGUCCGCGCCUUUGCAAGCUACUCAAGAAAAGCCAGAAGUGGAGCCCUUUCUCGGAAGCUCGGCGGUCACCGAAACAUAAAGAUCUUACUUUAUGAAGAAGGCCCACUGCUGGAGGAGCCAUAGAGGACAUUCCAUCACCAGAAGGACCAAGCUGUUAUUGAUCUUGUCCACCAAACGGGAACCCAGGAACCGAACUCCUUCCCUGAAAUGAUGUCUGUGGCAUCAUGGAGUGUGCACAGAAAUGAGAAAUGUUGCGGGCCUCUGCACUCCAUCGUUGAUGUACUAUCCUAAAUCCUUUAAAAACCCCUAGGCCAGGCAGAAACGCAGGAGUGGGCUUUUGGACAAGCGUUUGCCUCCUCCCCAGUUGGCUGGCUUCCUAAAUAAAGCUCCAAGUCCUUUCCA